rnacentral:rRNA from 1 species
GAUGAACGCUGGCGGCGUGCCUAAUACAUGCAAGUCGAGCGAACAGACGAGGAGCUUGCUCCUCUGACGUUAGCGGCGGACGGGUGAGUAACACGUGGAUAACCUACCUAUAAGACUGGGAUAACUUCGGGAAACCGGAGCUAAUACCGGAUAAUAUAUUGAACCGCAUGGUUCAAUAGUGAAAGACGGUUUUGCUGUCACUUAUAGAUGGAUCCGCGCCGCAUUAGCUAGUUGGUAAGGUAACGGCUUACCAAGGCAACGAUGCGUAGCCGACCUGAGAGGGUGAUAGGCCACACUGGAACUGAGACACGGUCCAGACUCCUACGGGAGGCAGCAGUAGGGAAUCUUCCGCAAUGGGCGAAAGCCUGACGGAGCAACGGCGCGUGAGUGAUGAAGGUCUUCGGAUCGUAAAACUCUGUUAUGAGGGAAGAACAAAUGUGUAAGUAACUAUGCACGUCUUGACGGUACCUAAUCAGAAAGCCACGGCUAACUACGUG